UGAGGAAUAUUGGACAAUGGGCGCAAGCCUGAUCCAGCCAUGCCGCGUGCAGGAAGAAGCAUCUAUGGUGCGUAAACUGCUUUUGUACGGGAAGAAACACUCCUUCGUGAAGGAGCUUGACGGUACCGUAAGAAUAAGGAUCGGCUAACUCCGAGCCAGCAGCCGCGGUAAUACGGAGGAUCCAAGCGUUAUCCGGAAUCAUUGGGUUUAAAGGGUCCGUAGGCGGUUUAGUAAGUCAGUGGUGAAAGCCCAUCGCUCAACGAUGGAACGGCCAUUGAUACUGCUAAACUUGAAUUAUUAGGAAGUACCUAGAAUAUGUAGUGUAGCAGUGAAAUGCUUAUAUAUUACAUGGAAUACCAAUUGCGAAGGCAGGUUACUACUUGUGGAUUGACGAUGAUGGACGGAAGCGUGGGGAGCAAACA
rnacentral:rRNA from 1 species